UUAAGGUCAAAAGGGUCCAAAAUUAAAAUUUGUUUGAUUUUAACAAAAAUUGAAUAUAUGGGGUUCUUUGAUAUGCUGAAUCUAAACAUGUAUUUAGAUUUUUGAUUUUUGGCCCAGUUUUCAAGUUGGUCCAAAUUGGGGUCCAAAAUUAAACUUUGUUUGAUUUCAACAAAAAUUGAAUAUAUGGGGUUCUUUGAUAUGCUGAAUCUAACCAUGUAUUUAGAUUUUUUAUUUGUGGACCCCGCUAUCAAAUUGGUUCAUAUUGAGGUCAAAAGGGUCCAAAAUUAAACUUUGUUUGAUUUCAUCAAAAAUUGAAUUAUUGGGGUUCUUUGAUAUGCCAAAUCUAACCGUGUAUUUAGAUUUUUAAUUUUGGGUCCCGUUUUUUAAAUUGGUCUACAUUAAGGUCCAAAGGGUCCAAAAUUAAACUUAGUUUGAUUUUAACAAAAAAUGAAUUCUUGGGGUACUUUGAUAUGCUGAAUCUAAACAUGUGUUUAGAUUUUUGAUUAUGGGACCAGUUUUCAAGUUUGUCCAAGUUGGGGUCCAAAAUAAAACUUUGUUUGAUUUCAACAAAAAUUGAAUAUAUGGGGUUCUUUGAUAUGCUGAAUCUAACCAUGUAUUUUGAUUUUGGACAUUGGACCAUAAUAGGUAAAUUAGAAAAAUUUAAGUUCUUAGACCACAUUCUUUCUGUGUCAGAAACCUAUGCUGUGUCAAAUAUUUAAUCACAAUCCAAAUUCAGAGCUGUAUCAAGCUUGAAUGUUGUGUCCAUACUUGCCCCAACUGUUCAGGGUUCGACCUCUGCGGUCGUAUCAAGCUGCGCCCAGCGAAGCAUUUUAUUAGAGAAUAAAGUAUGUAUCUAUCUA